UUUGAAAAGAAGAAAUUGUGACGAAGAAUUUUCAAACAAAUGAAAACCACUGUUAAUGAUUGAGCAUUUAAGGUAUGUGGUUGAAUAAAAAAUUCCAAGUUCUAAGUGUUAAUUGCAAUGAGAGCCCUAAUAGAAAGAAAAAUAAAAGAAGGACAAAAAUACGUACAGGUGCUUGUUAUAGAUUGUUUUCUUGAUUUCGUGGUGUAGUG
rnacentral:lncRNA from 1 species